CCAUAAUGCAUGUAGAUAAGAAGAACUUUUCAGCCUUAAAUACAUACUGUGAUUGUGGCUCCGUGUCCGCAAAGCACACUGAAGCGUAUAGAAGCAAAGGUGAAGACAUCAAGGAGUGCCAAGUGGCAAGUGACCAUAUGAAAGGACAACUACAAGACAUUGAAACCAAGAGCCAGGCCAGACUGCAGGAGGAUGGACGUAUCCCAUGUCAGAGCACAAGUCAUGGGAGAAGGAGGAUCAGGCACGUUAACACAGGCAAAAUCCAGGGGAUACCACCAAGGUAAGCAGGGAAGUGACAAGAGAGGCACCGUGCCCUGAUCUGGCAACUCAAGCGGCCCCUGAAAAAUGAGACUCUGGGUGAGCGCAACACCUCUGUGAUGGGAAAGAUGGCUUCCUGUAUUCGUUGAAGAAAAUGCAGAUCCUGUUUUAAAUAAAACUUUUGGUUCAAAGCUUUCGCUGGGAAACGUGCAAAAGGACAGAUGAGAAAUAGCGAGUCAGCAAAGAGAGAAAGAAGAGGUGAAAAAAGCUUGUUCAGAACUAAAAUACACCAUGUAAUUGUCAGCUACGAAUGACCUUGAAGAGGUUCCUGGCGAUGUAAACCAGUCCUUCUCAAGGGGCUCCUCUGCCAUCCCCUUUCAGCCAGAGCUUCUUCCAAGGGAACUCCACUGCACAUUGAUGAG
ensembl:lncRNA